rnacentral:misc_RNA from 1 species
GUACCAAGGCUGAGGGACAAGCCCUGGCCAUGUAAGUUCUGUCCACUAUGAAGAAUGCCAGAAGGUCCACCCAUUGAAUUCAUAACAAGCAUCUCAUUUCUAUUAUCCCUCCAAGCAUUAAAAUCAUGCUCCCCACUUCGUGAUCCACCAAGAUUUGACAAGAUUUCUUGCUGCCGUGCGGUUGAAUCCAAUGCCUCCACAGACUGAAUUUGAAUGCAGUUAUUUUGCUGCUGGGUAUUCCCAGCCAAGGUAUCCGAGUAUGAUCCACCAUUCAUAUACAUCAUCAUA